GGCCGCAGUAUAUUAACUGUGCAAAGGUAGCAUAAUCAUUAGUCUUUUAAUUGAAGGCUGGAAUGAAUGGUUGGACAAAAUAUUAACUGUUUCAUAAUAAUUUUUAAUAAAAUUUUAUUUUUUAGUUAAAAAGCUAAAAUAUAUUUAAAAGACGAGAAGACCCUAUAAAUCUUUAUAUUUAAAUUAUUGUAAUUUUUUAGAAAAUUUUAAUUAUUAUAAUCUAUAAUAUUUUAUUGGGGUGAUAUUAAAAUUUAAUAAACUUUUAAUUUAUUAUAUCAUUAAUUUAUGAAUUAUUGAUCCGUUAUUAACGAUUAAAAAAAUAAGUUACUUUAGGGAUAACAGCGUAAUUUUUUUGGAGAGUUCAUAUUAAUAAAAAAGAUUGCGACCUCGAUGUUGGAUU
rnacentral:rRNA from 1 species